GUUUCCUGAUGCAUCUAUAUUAUUCAGCUCCUCCAGAGAAACUGUAUGAUUACUUCAUCAGACCUUGUGAAUUAUUAGAGAAUUUGGAAUAAUUGGUGCUGCCAUGUAACAUACUUGAUAGUCCUAAGGAGGAAAUUUGUGACAUACCUGGGAGGGAAAAUCUGACUGCUCUAAAUGGGAGUCAUGUGCCCAUACCUUGGAUAAGGGACAAAGCAGCAGCAUGAUUUUUACUUCUACUCGAACCAUGUGGAACAGAGGAGUGGUCUUCUAAGGCAUGAAUGGGAUGCUAUUACUAAAGUUAGGACCAACAACUCUGGAAAUUCUGGAGCUGCUGUAGAAAUGCUAGAGCCACUGACACAUUGACUCUCAAGAAAAGCUGGUUGAAUUGUCUUGACAUGUGGAGAAUUACGGAUGUAGCAAAGAGUUCAUGUUGCUAAAACAGUUGGCCUUUUAGCACGCUGGAUAUAUUUCUGUGUGAAGAAGUUGAGUACACAUGUAUGACGAAAAGAAUUUAAAAGACUUUGGAAGGAAUUUGUAUUAUA